AUGAACGCUGGCGGCGUGCCUAAUACAUGCAAGUCGAGCGAACGGACGAGAAGCUUGCUUCUCUGAUGUUAGCGGCGGACGGGUGAGUAACACGUGGAUAACCUACCUAUAAGACUGGGAUAACUUCGGGAAACCGGAGCUAAUACCGGAUAAUAUUUUGAACCGCAUGGUUCAAAAGUGAAAGACGGUCUUGCUGUCACUUAUCGAUGGAUCCGCGCUGCAUUAGCUAGUUGGUAAGGUAACGGCUUACCAAGGCAACGAUGCAUAGCCGACCUGAGAGGGUGAUCGGCCACACUGGAACUGAGACACGGUCCAGACUCCUACGGGAGGCAGCAGUAGGGAAUCUUCCGCAAUGGGCGAAAGCCUGACGGAGCAACGCCGCGUGAGUGAUGAAGGUCUUCGGAUCGUAAAACUCUGUUAUUAGGGAAGAACAUAUGUGUAAGUAACUGUGCACAUCUUGACGGUACCUAAUCAGAAAGCCACGGCUAACUACGUG
rnacentral:rRNA from 1 species